UACGAAGGGGCUAGCGUUGUUCGGAAUUACUGGGCGUAAAGCGCACGUAGGCGGGUUGUUAAGUCAGGGGUGAAAUCCUGGAGCUCAACUCCAGAACUGCCUUUGAUACUGGCAACCUAGAGACUGGAAGAGGUUAGUGGAAUUCCCAGUGUAGAGGUGAAAUUCGUAGAUAUUGGGAAGAACACCAGUGGCGAAGGCGGCUA
rnacentral:rRNA from 1 species